rnacentral:rRNA from 1 species
GACGAACGCUGGCGGCGUGCUUAACACAUGCAAGUCGAACGAAGAGCGAUGGAAGCUUGCUUCUAUCAAUCUUAGUGGCGAACGGGUGAGUAACGCGUAAUCAACCUGCCCUUCAGAGGGGGACAACAGUUGGAAACGACUGCUAAUACCGCAUACGAUCUAAUCUCGGCAUCGAGGAUAGAUGAAAGGUGGCCUCUACAUGUAAGCUAUCACUGAAGGAGGGGAUUGCGUCUGAUUAGCUAGUUGGAGGGGUAACGGCCCACCAAGGCGAUGAUCAGUAGCCGGUCUGAGAAGAUGAACGGACACAUUGGGACUGAGACACGGCCCAGACUCCUACGGGAGGCAGCAGUGGGGAAUCUUCCGCAAUGGACGAAAGUCUGACGGAGCAACGCCGCGUGAGUGAUGACGGCCUUCGGGUUGUAAAGCUCUGUUAAUCGGGACGAAAGGCCUUCUUGCGAAUAGUGAGAAGGAUUGACGGUACCGGAAUAGAAAGCCACGGCUAACUACGUG